rnacentral:misc_RNA from 1 species
ACCGCCUGCACGGAAGCCUGC